rnacentral:rRNA from 1 species
AGUGAACGCUGGCGGUAGGCCUAACACAUGCAAGUCGAACGGCAGCACAGUAAGAGCUUGCUCUUACGGGUGGCGAGUGGCGGACGGGUGAGGAAUACAUCGGAAUCUACUUUUUCGUGGGGGAUAACGUAGGGAAACUUACGCUAAUACCGCAUACGACCUACGGGUGAAAGCAGGGGAUCUUCGGACCUUGCGCGAUUGAAUGAGCCGAUGUCGGAUUAGCUAGUUGGCGGGGUAAAGGCCCACCAAGGCGACGAUCCGUAGCUGGUCUGAGAGGAUGAUCAGCCACACUGGAACUGAGACACGGUCCAGAGUCCUACGGGAGGCAGCAGUGGGGAAUAUUGGACAAUGGGCGCAAGCCUGAUCCAGCCAUACCGCGUGGGUGAAGAAGGCCUUCGGUUUGUAAAGCCCUUUUGUUGGGAAAGAAAAGCAGUAGGUUAAUACCCCGCUGUUCUGACGGUACCCAAAGAAUAAGCACCGGCUAACUUCGUG